rnacentral:rRNA from 1 species
AGUAACGGCGAGUGAAGCGGCAAUAGCUCAAAUUUGAAAUCUGGCUCCCAAUCGGGGUYCGAGUUGUAAUUUGUAGAGGAUGUUUCGGGCGCGGUACCGGCCUAAGUCCCUUGGAACAGGGCGUCAUAGAGGGUGAGAGUCCCGUAUGCGGCCGGCCUCCAACCCCAUACGAAGCUCCUUCGACGAGUCGAGUUGUUUGGGAAUGCAGCUCAAAAUGGGUGGUAAAUUUCAUCUAAAGCUAAAUACCGGCCARAGACCGAUAGCGCACAAGUAGAGUGAUCGAAAGAUGAAAAGCACUUUGGAAAGAGAGUCAAACAGUACGUGAAAUUGUUGAAAGGGAAGCGCUUGCGACCAGACCUGCCCGCGGACGUUCAGCGGUGGUUCSUCCACCGUGCACUCGUUCGCGAUCAGGCCAGCAUCGGUUCCGGCGGUUGGAAAAAGGUCGCGGGAAUAUAGCUCCUCCCGGGGAG